rnacentral:rRNA from 1 species
UACGGAGGGUGCAAGCGUUAAUCGGAAUUACUGGGCGUAAAGCGCACGCAGGCGGUCUGUCAAGUCGGAUGUGAAAUCCCCGGGCUUAACCUGGGAACUGCAUUCGAAACUGGCAGGCUGGAGUCUUGUAGAGGGGGGUAGAAUUCCAGGUGUAGCGGUGAAAUGCGUAGAGAUCUGGAGGAAUACCGGUGGCGAAGGCGACCCCCUGGACAAAGACUGACGCUGAGGUGCGAAAGCGUGGGGAGCAAACAGG